GACUCUCGACAAUAGAUAUCUCGGCUCUUGCAUCGAUGAAGAACGUAGCAAAAUGCGAUACUUGAUGUGAAUUGCAGAAUCUCGUGAACCAUCGAGUCUUUGAACGCAAGUUGCGUCCAAAGCCAUUAGGUCGAGGACACGCCUGCCUGGGUGUCA
rnacentral:rRNA from 2 species